rnacentral:rRNA from 1 species
CGAGAGGACCGGAGUGGACGAACCGCUGGUGUUCGGGUUGUGUCGCCAGACGCAUUGCCCGGUAGCUAUGUUCGGACAGGAUAACCGCUGAAAGCAUCUAAGCGGGAAGCCCCUUCCAAGAUGAGAUCUCCCUGGACCCUUGAGGUCCCUGAAGAGCCGUUCAAGACCAGGACGUUGAUAGGUCGGGUGUGUAAGCGCUGCGAGGCGUUGAGCUAACCGAUACUAAUUGCUCGU